AAUAUGCGAUAAUGUCGUAUGAAUUGCAGAAUCAAGCGUAUUAUCAAACCUUUGAACGCAUAAUGCGGGCCGGGUCUUAACUCGAGCCCGUUUACGGUUCAGUGCCGAUAACUGUGUUGGGGACAUAUUGUAGGCCCUUAAACACUUGUGGGUUGCAAAACCUAUCUUCUCAUUUUUCAAGGCCUGAGCUGUAAUCGACCACCCGCUGAACUUAA
rnacentral:misc_RNA from 1 species